UACGUAGGGUGCAAGCGUUGUCCGGAAUUAUUGGGCGUAAAGAGCUCGUAGGCGGUCUGUUGCGUCGGCUGUGAAAACCCGGGGCUCAACCCCGGGCCUGCAGCCGAUACGGGCAGACUAGAGUUCGGCAGGGGAGACUGGAAUUCCUGGUGUAGCGGUGAAAUGCGCAGAUAUCAGGAGGAACACCGGUGGCGAAGGCGGGUCUCUGGGCAAUAACUGACGCUGAGGCGCGAAAGCGUGGGGAGCAAACAGG
rnacentral:rRNA from 1 species